rnacentral:lncRNA from 1 species
CAAAACAAGGUUUGGCUUUUGAAAAUAUUGAUAAAAUGUUAAUAAUAAAAGCAAAAAAUUUAGAGAGGUGGAAGAGUGUUUAUAGGCUUAAUUUUUUAAAACUUCAAAUAAAAAAUUAAAUAGUUCUCAAAUUAUUUGUAAACUUAAUAGUUAAUAUAAUCUAGUAGUAUUAACGAGUGAUCGAUAAAAGAUUCCAUACUUGCACCUAAACAUAAAUUUAAUAUACAAAAAUGUUAACUUGGGUCUAAAGGGAAGUCGAGAAACAAUUUUGAAUUUUAGCACUGAACAAACUUCUAAAUUUAAUAUUAUAUCAAUUAUAUAUAUAUACAUAAAUUGAGGGGUCGAGUCCUUCGAAACCUAUGCUAAAUCCGUCAUUGCCAACUACCACUUUAGAAGUUCAUACACUGGAUUCAAAAUGGUUGAACAAAAAAGAAUACAAACAGUUGAACAUGCGAGGCAGAAUACAGAUCUGUAUCAUAUAUUGUAAAUAUAAUGGGAAUAACAUUAGCCAAUGUUUAUGUCAUUAGCGUAGUCAAAGAAAUAGAAUGUGAAAAAGGCAAUGGCAAGCACAAAAGACAAUACAUAUCAUUUAUACAACACAGACACAGUAAUGGCUAUAAACUAAGGCUACAAAAUCAAAUUCACCUGUCAACAUUGAUGGAUGUGUCCCAGUUGUUCGAUAGACAAAUAAUUUACCCAUUUCUGGGUUGUCUCUGUUCCCACCUUGCCAACAUCGGUUCCCACAAUCUCAUCUUUAACAAGUUUACUGCUACUGAUUUCUGGUGUCACAGUUUGAAGAUCUUUGUUGAUUUCAUUGCCACAAGUUUCAGUGGAAGGAUUGUGAGGGGAGGCUCCAUUGAUGUCGUUUUGAAGUAAGCCGUAGCUAAGACUCACAUCUUUCCACUCAGUGUUCAUAGAUAGAUGUUCAUGCCGAGUCAAGUAACGCUUUAGUUCGACUUUGAGGUUCCUGAUCGGCUGUUAUGAUAAUAUGUACCACAUAUUAAUAUAAAUCUGAAGGUAAAAACUGAAUUAUGAGCAAACCCAAAAUGAUCUCUCCAAUUAGUUCACAAAGACACGUUAAGAAUUCGACAAAUGAAAAUAUAACAGAAAAUGUAAAUGGUAGAGAAUCAACGCAAAUACAUAGUUGAAUGGCAAUGCAAUUAGUUUGUCCAUAAACAGAGGAGAGCAGUUUAUUAUUACAUAGAAGAUAUCAAGUUAUAGACCAAAGGUACUCAUAGAAUUGAGAGUUUAUCAACGCACUUUUACUCGAAACUUUUAAGGUAAAAUCUUAAAUAACAUAAAUCAAAUACAACUAGUUUGAAAAAAAUGGUAGUGUUUGGUAAAUUAAAAAACAAAUUCAAUGUAAACACUUAUAAAAGAAGUCUAACCAAACAUUAAGUGUUUAGAUUUUAAAUUCAUUUAAAAAAGUGUUUAAAAGAAAAUGUAUUAUCGAAAAUCAAUUUUUUCUUAAUUCCAUCCAAACGGACCAUUAGUCGUUCGGAGCACCAAAUAACAAAUUUAAGGCAUUCCAAUUAAACAUCCUCUACCGUUAAAAAUAAAAGGGAUCACCACAGGGAUCACCCCGACUCCAAUCCAUUAACUGAUUUAUGAAAUAGAUCUUUCUCCCGGAAAAUCCAAACCCAUAUUGGCAACUCAACGUUUCACAUCAAUAACAAUCUCCCUUUUCUAUAGUUCGCGUUAUGGAUUGGGGAAAGGAAUUAGCUGUUAGACCUGCCACUCGGGAAAAUGCUUAGAAAUACGAAAACUAUUUGUUCUUCAAAGCUAUGUAAUAAACCACUUUGUAGUAAAGUAGUUCUAAUCAAACUAUUUUUUCUAAUUUUAAUUAUCAUAAAAAGCACUUCCAGAUAUGAUGAGAGGAAAAGCUAAGAUGUUCAUCACUUUACCUCAGCAUUGCAAACAUAAGCAAGGCGAAAGAAAUCAGCAGAUACCCAAUGCUUCCCAACUGACUCAGCCAAUUUGAUCUGAGCAACCCAAUACGACGAUGUCUCCAUCUUGUCAAAACGGCAGUUACUACAUUUCUCCGCCGUAUGGUAAGGCGUGCCACCGUUCUUCAAUUUCAACAACCGAGGCCUCGCAACCGGCGUCUGAGGCUCUACAACGUCAUUCCCAUCACGCAGACCCUUAACAGCCGUUUCCGUAACUUGCUGUUGGAUACCAGGGCUCUUCUUCUUUAGCCUCGGAUUCAAUUUCUCAUUAAUCUUCCGAUCAACAGUAGCAUUGACCGAGAUUUGAGCUAAUCGGGAUUUGGGUUGUUUCUUGACACCCCCAAUAACGGGAUUAGUUAAUGGCUUUUCAUUAACUACAGGUUUAACCGGUAUGUUUGAGCUUCUAACAGUUCCAAAAACGCGAUUCUGCCUAAUUGCAAUAACAAGAUUCAGACGCUAGUACAGAAGAACAUGAUUCAAAAUGAAAUUGAGAAUAAUACUGCGUAGUAGUACCUUGAAAUUUGAGGUUGAUGGGCGGUGAUUUGGGGUGCUUCGGAAGGCUUUCGGGUGAAUUUAGGUUUAGAGGAAAUAGGCUUUGCUGCGGAUUUGAAGCAAAAUUGAGAGAAAUCAGUCAUAAAAAUUCAAUGGAAAUGAAUGUAGGAAAAUAGGGAAAAAGAUCAAUACCUGGAAUAUGAGUGAGUUUAGGAUCCAUGAAUUGCAAGGAAUUGAAAGAGCUUGAGUUGAAUUAACGCCGAUCUUUGUACAAAUCCAGAUGUUGUGGAAAAAGGGGAAAGAUAACGGAUGAAAAUUUUGAAAGUUCAAAAAGUAAAGAAGGGCGGCAACGGAUCCUGAUUUAACCAAAUGGGCCGUCAUUCAAAGUUCAUAGCUCUGUUUUAGAGCCCAAGAUAGUAUUGGGCUUCAUUUCUGGUAAUGAAUGUGGCCCAGUUCAUUGUUUGGGGAAUUUUGCUAUGAUGCCCUUUUAUUUUAUGUUAUUUUGCCAUGGUUUCAAACCUUUUUUAUUUUAAUUACAUAAUUUCUCAAUUCGAGCGUGAAACGAUUUACUCCAUAAAAUUUUACAUUUGUAAUAAUUUAGUCACUAAACAGAAUUUUAGUUAUUAUUUUAAAAUUUAUAAAUAUUUAUUAUUGUGAUAAUUUAACAUGACUUAGUUGUAAGAGAUUUUGAGAUUAUAUUUUAAUCAAAAUUUAAAGAUUAAGGGUUGAAUAAAGUAGUUCAAAUCUACUAUUUAAAGCACAUAUUUGAAAGUUGCCAAUCAUAUCUAAUAGAGUCAUGGUCACAUUACGUUUUUAAUAUAAAAAUUGAUAGUCUUUUAAAUAACAAAAAGUUUAGGGUAAGAGUGGGCCAAAAUUCAUUUCAUAAUACAUUGCUUUUGAAUGAUAAUAAUUUUUUAGAAAAAGGAUUAUAAAAUAAAAUACUAAUUAAACUUAAGUGUUCUUUUUUUUUUUUUUAAGCUUUUGGUGAUUCUUAAACCAAUAGUUUAUUAUCAAUAAAAAAAAUAAAUUGAAUAGGGCUUUUAAGAGGUCAAAAGCAUCCUUUUACCAAAAUUUCAAAUUGUUAAUCAAAUUCUACUAAUUUAUAUUACCAUUUUUUUAAUCAUAUCUAUAAACUCAUUUAACAAAGUCUAACGAUUUCACUUUUGUAAUUUCAUGAAUCACGACUUUGUUUUUUUUUAGCCAGUAGAAUAAUAACAAAAAAAAAAAAAAAAAACCUAAAAUAAUAGCAUAUAUGAUAAAAGAAUAAAAUAUUUGCAUAUACAUUACAAAAAAAAAAAAUGGUAAAAGAGUAAAAUAUGCAUGCCAACUACUGUUUUAACCAAUUUUUUUGUCGAAUUUUUUAAAUUAAAAGCUAUCAUUGAUAGCCAUCUAUCAGAAAACUAUCACUGAUAACAAUCGAUAAGGAACAUAUCUGUGUCAGUUGAGUUGAGCUCAUGUUGACAUAAUUUUUCUAUAUUGCUAUUAACGUAAAAUGAUUUCACUAACAUUAUCUAUCAAAUGAUUGUAUUAGAAGGAUAUCGUUGAUAACAACUAUAAGCAUUGGAAGAAUAUUUUUUAUAUUUUUGAAUUGAUGAAGUUUAAUUAGGUUAUCAAUUGAUAUUUUUUAUAGCUAUACUAUCAAUGAUAUUAUUCUAUUGCUAUCAAUAAAAAUAUCUAUAACGAUAGCAACAUGAGGAUAUCACUGAUAACAUUUAUAAGUAAUAUCUGUAAUGAUACUAUAUAUCAAUGAUAUUAAGGUAACACUACUAGAUGUUGUAUUUUUUUUUUCUUUUUUAGCAUAAAUGGACAAAGAAAAGAGAUCAAAUAAGCAUGCUAUCGGUAAUAGCUUUCAAUCACUAAUAACAUACUAUCCAUAUGAUACUUUAUAUCGUUGAUACUAUAAAUAAACUGAUAUAGAGAGAACAACGUCACAGAGAGAGAGAGAAAGAGAGAAGGAACAAAAGCUUACUGGUGAAGAAGGUGACGACCACAAUUUGAACUUUGAAGAGAUUGUGGCGGUUUGGAGAUGACAGACACGAAUUGAAAAGGUUGAGGUAGAUGAUGUUUUGUCGUUCGGUAGAGGAGGUUGUGUCAGUGCUGGAUUGAACAGACGGGCACGAGGGGGCAGUGGUAGUGACAGGGCCGGAAUAUGGUCGGAUUGGAGAUGGCCUUCUUCGCGGGAGGAUUUGAGAAAAUGAAGGAUUUUAGAUUUGGGGAAAAGAUUUUGUAAAUUAUUUUAUGGUUUUUCUAUGACAUCAAUUAACUUUCACGGAAAAUGUUAUUCGAGAAAUUCCUUCUUUUUUCACCAAAAACGCAAAUUUUUCCAAUUUGUGACAGUUUUUUCUUCUCCCUUCCAUUUUGUUAUAUACACAACUUUCAUAGUAGACAAUUUUUGUUGUAGUGUAUAGUUACAACUUUUGUUGAAAUAAGUUAUUGAUUUCAGGUUAUGCUAUAUAUCAACAUUUAUAUGAUUUAGAAAAUCAAAAUUCAAGUUAUCAGUGACAAACUUAUGAAAUACAUAUUGACAUAUGAGACAUAAUGUCAUUGAUAGAAGUUAGAGACGAAAGAAACUGAAACAUAAAAUUGGCAUUUAAAAAAAAAUAUAUUAUUCUCUUGUGCUACAUGUUAUCUUUAUUUCUAAUUUGUGCUAUUUGGUGCAAUUUUUUCUUUUUUUUUUUCCUACAAUUUUCAUUUGGUUUUCACAUUCUUAAUCCUUAAACUUAAGUUUGAUUUCAUUUGUCAUUGAAUUUCAAAACACUACAGUUUUAUAGUCGAGCUUUGAGUUUUGUUUCAAUCUAGUUCUUAAAUUUCAAUAUCUAUAAAUCUAUACUUGAUUUUUUCCCCAAAUAUAUAUAAAACUCAAAUAAUUAAAAGUGAAAUUAUAAUAUUUUGAAAUCUAAAGAUUGAAUUGAGUUCAAACUCUAAGUUUAAGGAUUAAAAGUAUGAGAUUAUAAAACGCAUAAACCAUUUGGUGUUCACAGGUUAAAGUUAGUAGAGAUGUUCAAAAUUGGUUUGAUUUUGUUGUUCAUUUUUCUAUAAGGUUUCUAUCAAACACAUUAAAUUGGAGGACCUAAGUAAAUGGGUGGUUAAAAGCCAAACCAACCUUUGCAAAACGGAAAAUAUAGAUAUUCAAAGAAUGGCCAUUCAUAAGGUCUUUAUGUAAAUAUAACCAACAUUCACUAUACAUAUUUGACUCUAUAAUACCGUUUUCUCAUUGUUUUGUCUCUCUUUUCUAUUGGGUUCUUUAUUACAAACACUUGACUUAAAACACACAUACUUGGUCAAUAUAUGCACAUAUUUUUGUUCUUCUAACUUCAAUUUUGGUUCAUUGUGGUCUAUAUACUUUCAAAAUGUUCAUUUUUAUCCUACAGCUUUAGUUCAUACAUUUUUAUAAAAAAAAACUAUAAUGAAUUAAAAAUAUAAAAGUAAAUAAUAAAAUAUCAUAGUAGUAUCAAUAAUCUACAAGUAUUGAGAUAUGGAUAUAUUUUUCAUGGGCAAUUAAUUUUGAGUUGAUUUUGUAUGUGAAUAGGCAUUAUGCUGUUUCAUGGAAAUUGUAGUCAAUGUCUCUUUUACUCUCUUUUUUUUCCCCUUCAAAUGGUUGCAAUCAUUUCCUCACUUUCCCUUUUAAUUUGCUCGCCUUUCUUCCUUUAGUGAACUAAACUACAAAUCCUCUGGAAACACAAUUUAUUUUUAUUUUUAGAUUUUUUUUAAAGAUUUUGCUAUUUAUUUUACUAUUUUUUUUAUAAUACUCUACAUUAAAUAUAUAUUUGAAUUAUUAUAAAACUAAUUUAUAAUAAAAGUAAUUUCCAUUUUAAAAACCAAAAUAGAGUUAAAUUUCAAAUUAUUUUAUUAAUGAAAUGUAUAUCUAUAUACUAAUAUAUUAAUAAAAAUCUAUCUAUAUACCCAUAAACUUUGAUAUAAGUCUCAAUAUUGCUAUUAGAAAUAAAAUUUGAAAUAAUGCUAUAUAUUUUGUAAAUAUUUUAGUUCAUUCUACUUAUAUUUAUCAAUAAACUAACCUAUGAAUUUGCUUCCAAAAUCUACCACAAACAAGUAAAUGAAUAAUAAAAAGUUUUUAAAAGGUCAACAAUAGACUAAAUUAAUAGUAAAGAUUUAAGUAGGUUUAAAAUUUAUUAAAAAUAUGAUUUGUAGUUUUAGAGAGAAAUUUUUAGGUGUAAAGACUUGGUCGUGAUUCACUUCUCUACUAAAUUCCAAGCACCAAACGAAUCCAUGGUUUUUUUUUUUUUUUUUUCUCAUAAACUAUAUUAUAACAAUGAUGAACUUAUUAUGUCAAUUACUUCUAGAAAGGAGAGAUAAAUUAAGUUUUAAUUAAAGAGAAAAUUGUACUGUUUUUCUAUCAACAAUUAAAAUGUCAAUUGUGUAGUAGGCUAGCUAGAACCCAAUAAAAAAUUUAGGUUUCAACUUUUUUAUGAAAUAAUAUUUCAAUCUUAAUAAUGUUUUGUGAAAACAUUUAACACUUGAUUGUAAUAAUAAUUAACUAACUUAAUAUCCUCUUCUUUCUUCUAUUUUGAUAUGAUAAAUCUUUUUUAUGUUAAAAUAUUUUGUAUAAUAAGUAUGGUGGUAUUAUUUGUAUUGAAUCACAGACUAAUUGUUAAACUUUCAUAUGUUUGGAGGUGAGUUGUAUUAGGUUUUCUUUAACUAUUAUUCUUUCAAAUAAAAACUUGAUAUAUUAGAGCAUUCAUUCAAACUAUUUUUCCACAUAACAAAAAUAAUUAAAUUUAGAUUUUUUUCAAAAACAAAAAAAAUUGACGAAUUAUUACGCUCCAAAAUAAUAUCAUUAAAAAACUACAUUUUAUUAUAUUUUUCUAUUAAAAAUUAACUACAUAUACAAUUGGAUAGAUUUUGUUUGUAAAUUUAUUUUAUAUUUUUAUUUAUAAAUAAAUAGAGAGAGAAACCCCAAUUUUUUAUCCAAGAUAAAUGAUAAAUUUUUUAUUCAAAAAAAUUAAUGAUGGUAUGCUAUUAAAUUACCAUGGAACAUUUUAAACUAAAAAAAAAAAACUAUUUUGCUUACACUUUUUACUACAAUGAUGAGAAAUUUUUCUAUUUUCAAAGGGUUGUAAUUUAAUAAUGAAAGUUUAAAAAUUGGGUGGGUUUCUUAUGUUGACCCUAAAAUAAAAUAAAAGAAUAAAUAGCGGUGGGUUGGAUACGUUAUCCUCUCCAAUUCGAUGUUAAAUAUUAAAUAACUUAUAAAUUAUGUGCUUUCUAAACAUACAAAAACAAAACGACAUGUUUAAUUCAAACUCUUUGUAAAUGAUUUACAAACAUUUAUGAACAUAGACUUAGUUCGUAUUUUCUUUUAAAAAAAAACAGUCCACCUUGAUCUACAGAUCAAAUUUAAAUUCAUUCAAACUAAAUGAAUGACAAAAAGAAAAAAAAAAUUCUAUUGAUAGACUUUAUUUGAUAGAAUCUAGUGUUAGUUAUAUUUUAUAAAUAUUUGUAAUGAUUUAUCUUUUACUAUAAAUAUUUUGUUUGUUUUAUUUUAAUAUUAUUUUUUGAGUAAUGUGGUUUCAAUAUAAAUGAAUAAUGAAAAAGAAGCAAAAGAACAAAAGCAUGUGAAGGAGGCGUUGGAUUGGAUUUGUUUGUCCACAGAUAUCUCUCGUACAUAUAUUUAUUAUUCUCCCUUUAAUUUGUAAUUAAUAAUUAAUAAUCAAUAAUCGUACUUGUUUUAAACAUGAUUAAAAUAAAAUAAACUACACCUACACGCAUCUAAUCUCCAUUAUCACUGUCAUUUAAAAAAAAAAACCCUAAACCAAAGGGGGAAAAGAGAAGAUAACUCCAGAUUUUGAAAAGUGUAAUGGAAGAUAUAUUUUUGUUUGUUUUUAUCCUAUUUUCUAAGCAAUUAAUCAUUAGACAUUAAAGGUGAUUAAAGUGAGUAUAUAACUAACCCUAAUAUGGAUGGCAUCAAAGAGUCACCUGACCUUCAUCUAGCUGGUAUUUAUACAUUAAAAGAUAAUUUCAACGUAUUUUCGUAUAUUUUUCCACAUAUGUGCAUCAACAGAUCUCUUUUCUUGUAGUGUAUGUGAAAUCCAAUUCAUUUACACUCCAAAUUUUAACUAUCAUCAAUAAAUAUAAUAUAAUUUAGUUAGUACAGUUAUUUAAACUAUUGACUUCAACGUCAUAAAAUAACUCUCGCCAAACAACACAAAUUUCAUAUUCUCUCUUCAUAGUCACUUGUUUUUCUAGUAUAAGUUGAGAGUGAGAUUUUAAUAAAUGAAAUCCACUUUGUCUUCAACACAUAUAUAUACAUCUAUUGAGCUAAAUUCUUGUUGCGGCUUAUCUAUAUCAUUUGUUUUAAUAACCAUUCAUUGAAAUAUGAUGUUUUUUUAAAAAAUUUAAACUUUCUGAGUUAUAUUCAAAUUCAUGUCCCAUGGUAAUUAAUUAAAAAGUAAUUCAAAGACGACAGGGUUUUUUAAAACAAAACUCCAAAUUGUUAUAUAUAGGAAUUAUUCAAGAUGCUUUUAUGAGGUGAGGACUGGGGAAUGGAGAUUAUAUAAAUAUAUGCAUAUAAAUCUCUGGUAUUAUUAUAUUAUGAAGCCAAUUUAAAUUUAAUAAUGAAAUGCAUAUUAAUUAAACAAGUCUUUUUUUAAAAAAAUAUAUAUAUUAAUUUAUGUGAGAUAAUUAAAAAAAAAAAAGAGAAGGGUUGAUAAGAAGUAUUUGGCCCUUCGGCUGCGAUUUAUAUUAUAAACGAUUUACGUAAUGAAUAUUAGAAUAAAAGUAAGGGUCCAGAAUUGCGGUCUAACAAGAGACAACCAGGUCAGCGUUCUAAACUCAAUUACGUGUCAACACGUGUAAGAUCUAUUCUUAACUGCUGACGUGGGUAAAAUUGAUUCGCUGCUAACUUUUGAUCCGGGCUCAACAAUAAAGACUAUAGAGUCAGAAUAUUAUUUUCUUAUCUCCAUAAUAAGAAAAAAAAACAAUUAAAUUUUAAAUUCUCUAUUCCACUUUGAAAUUUAAACUACAAUAUCUGAAAGCUUUAGUUCUUUUUUUUUUUUACAAAAGAAAAUUAAUGUAUAAAGAAUAUCUAAAAGGAAAAGAAAAGUUAUCAACUUAUCAUAUUGAUUUUCUGCCUGCAAGUUUAGGUGGCUGAGCCGGCAAGUUGGUGAAUAAAGAACAAUAUAUGUGUGUGUGAAUUUCUUUUUCUUCAAAACUUCACAAUUUAAAUUUGAGUAUGAACAACAACUUUGAAGAAGAAAGAUGCUGUCUCCUUAAAAGUGGAUGUAGACAAAAAUCACAGAUCCACCGUAGUCCUUUUGUGUAUUCUUCUAAUUCUUAUUCCUUUCGUCUUCAUAUUUGUGUUCUUUUGCAUGACUAAUAUACUAAAAACAUGAAAGAAAAGUAAAGUGUAAAAGGGAGAUUUAACUACAGAUAACACUGAUCUUUUUGUUAACAAAUUCAACGAAGUUAUUUAAAAAUGGCAGCUGAAACAAUCCACUCAUAAAAAGAAAUACAUUGAUUAAUAAAAGAUUAAAUACAAAUUGGAAAUUAAAACCCAAGCUAAAUCGUCCAUUAUGAUAUAUAAGGGUGUGAUUAAUGUGGUGUGAAUAAUAUCGUUAUCAAGACAUGCUUACCUAGGAAUGAAGAAUAUGGUGAUAUGUCAUUGUUUAGUGGAUGUUGACAAAAAAGAAGGCAAUAUUUAAAACCAAUUGUUAUAUAUAGGAAUUAUUCCCCACAUUUUCGUGACUAUGAAAUUUCAACUUUGUGUUAUUUAAUUUAGACCAAGUCUCCACAAUUUUAUAGAAUUAAAUAUACCAUAUAUAAUAACUCAUGAUUAACAUUAUUGUUGAAUAAUUAAGUUCACUCUAUUAGAUUUUCUCAUCUCCUAAUGUUAUUGGAUUAUGAGUUAGAAAAAAAUGAUAAGAAGAAAAUUUUAUAAUUCAUUUAUUAUAAUAGUGAUGGAAAUAUUGUAUCAUAUAUUAAAAUGUUUUCUACGAUUCAAAAAAAAAAAAAAAAAAAACUAAAGAAAAUAGUAUGUAUAUAUUCUUUUCGUUUGACAAUAUAGAAGAAUAUAGAGAAUUCUAAACCUUAAGUUUGAAUGAUAAAGAAUGAAUUUCAGGAAACUUUGAAGGAUAAAAUAGAAUAUUUUAUAUUUUAGGAUAUCAAUUUGAAAAUUGUUCAUAGCAUUCUAAAUUUAUGAAUUGUUAAAUAUGGAGUAGGAAUAUUUCAACUGAUCAAAUAAAUAUAUAUAUAUAUAUAUAUAUAUAAUUCCUACAUUCGUGAUAAUAAUAAUAACAUAAACCAUAAUAAUAAUAGUAGAAUAUAUAUAGUAUGCAAGUUUAACUCGUUUAACACAUCCAAAGUUGUUGUAUUAAAAUUAAACUUCAAAUCUCUAUUCCAUCCUCAGAAUUAUUGGUUUUUAUUGUCCAAAUCACAAAAAAUAAGGUUUAGAAAAUUGAACUACAUAUAUAUAGAUCUUUUAAUCAUUAACACUCAAUUGCCAAAUAAAUUAUGUUCACAUUGAAUAUAUUAUAUAUAUAAAUUGUCAAAUAUAAAAAGAUUGAUAAAAUAUUUACAUUUCAUAAGAUAUUGAAGCAUAUGUAUAAAUUGUCAAAUAUAAAAAGAUUAAUAAAAUAUUUAGAUUUCCUCAGAAAAUGAAGUACAAUUUUAAUUUUAAUUUUUUCAUGAAAAUUAGAAAUAUUAAACCCACCAUAACUUUUAAUAGCUUGCCCAAAAAGGAAAGAAAAAAAACUAUAUGGUUUGAGCAGAAGACUUUAUUUAUCAAAAUAUAUGGCUUUUAAAAAACCAUGUGAGUAUACUAAUUGCUAUAUUAAUGGUUUGUAAUUUUGGUCAAUAUGUCAUAAUAAAUAUUUUACCAUCACUAAAUUAAUAUAGCUCAAGAUGGUCGUUCAAGUUCAAUAUGUAAAAUUUUGCAUUAUAAUUAAUUGUGAUUUUGAGUAUUUGACAACUCAAGAAAUUAGUAAGCUUUUCUUCCAAUACAAAAUAAAAUUUAUUAAAAAAAACUAAAAUAAUAUCGAUAAAUAAUUGAAAUAUUCAUUUUUGAGAGAAGAGGGUCCAAAUCUACAUUUUCUUUAUUGCAUCACAAAACAAUAUGUAAAAUCAAACUUGAUUUAUAAAGUCUUCUUUAAAUUAUGUAUGCUUUGAUUUUUUUAAGUACAUAUAUUUCUUUUUCUUUUCUUUUUUCAACUACAAAAUCACAAUUUUUUUCACCUAACUUUACCAAAUUCUUUGUUCAAUACAAUAAAAACGUUGAGAAAUACUGCUGGAGAAAACAAACAUGUGAUCAUAAUAUAUAUAGUAUGCACACACAUUUUUGAUAAAAUGUAUUUUUAAUAAAUUUUCUUUAAGGGAAAGAGUUUGAUUCACAAAAAAACUACUUUUCUAACACAUUAUUUUUCAAAAUUUAGAUUGUUUUAUAAGAUAUCGAUAAAACACAAGAAAAAAAAAUUUAGAGGCAAUCAAAUUAAAUGUUUAUAAAUUUGGUUUCAGUAUGAUUUGAUAUUUGAAGCUUUAGCAUUAUAAACUUGUGUUUUGAGUUUAUAAUUUUUCAAAAUGUGUACAUCUCCAUCAAUCAUAAAGUUAAAAGUUUUAAGUUUUAUUAUUGUACACAAAAUUAAUAGUUUUAAAGUGAGUAUAGCUCAACUGACACACGUAUUCGUUAACCUAAAGAGAUUUGCAAUUCAAAUUUUCUACCUCUAUCGUACUAAAAAAAUGUUAUUAGAUCGGUUUGUUUAAAUUUUUUUUUUUUUUUUGUGUGUGUGGUAGAAGACGUUUGACUAAUUAAAUUAUAAUAAAUUAUGAAGACAACUUGGAGGAUGAUCUAUGGCACCUUUUUUUUUUCUUCUUAGGUAGGAUAGAUGUAUUAUAUUUGCUUCUUCUUCUUAUGAUGACCAUAAUAAUAAUAGACAAUAAAGACUAAUUAAAGUUAUAAAUACUGCAAAAAAAAAAAAAAGCCAAUAAGAAGAAAAAAAAAGUAUUAUUAGACAAGCAAUAUAUACUUUUAUACAUCUCUUUUUCAUCCAUGUCAAAAAUAAGAGAUGGUGACAAGUUGAAAGAUACGUAUUCAUCCAUAAAAACAUACUAAUUAAGCACGUAGCUCUCAAUUGUUUAUAUGUAACUCAGUACUUCUCUUUGAUUAUAAAUAGUAAUUAAAUGCAGUUCAAUAUUUACUCAUUUCUAUACGUCUCAUUCUUAUUCACACACAAUGUAAUAAAAACAAAGGAAUAAUUUGAUACGCAACAAAAUAAUAUUAAUGUGAUGUUGUGUUGAUAAUCCUAUAUUAAUUAGAAGAACCAAACAACUAUCACAUUUCUUAUAAAAAUAGACGAGUUACUUAUCUAACUCUCAUUUGAUUAUGAGAUUAAACUUCAUGUUAUUUAAUAUGAACCUAAACAUGUAUUCAGUCUAAUAAAAAAAUUGAUCUCCCACUUAUUAUAAAACAUAUAAAUAAUUACUUUUCUCAUUGUCAAAUGAUUUUCAUAAAAACUUUUGUAUUACAACUCUCAAAGAGCCGUUUGGAACAAAUAUUAUCUACGACUAUAACAACCACAUUUUACUAUAGGAAACACUAUUUAAAAAUCUUCAAUUAAUUACAAUAAACAUAUUAUUUUUAAACUCUUUUAUUUAUUUAUUUUUAUUCUUUUAUAUUAUUACGUUUACUAUUUUCUUAUCAAACUAAAACAGUCUACACACUAAACACAUACAUAUUAUUACAAUCCAUACUGAAAUAACGUACACACCAAACACAAACUUUUCUAAUAAACUAUAAUAACUUAUAGGACUAUAAUAACGCACUUCAUAGUUUUAGUGUUAUGUAAUGGAUUGAAUAAGAUAAUACGUAUAUGAAAAGAUGAUUGAAGUAUGUUGAUUAUGGGUAGUGUUUGAACAAUUAGAGAAAGUGAAUAAAAGUGAGUGUAGAUUAAGAUGGAGGGAGAUGGAGAGUAGUUUUAUAUGUUGGAUUGUUGUGAAGUUGACAUAGAAAUGAAUGGUGGAUAUGGGAAAUUGAAAAAUGUUGCGAUGCUUUAAAUAUGGAAUUAAAUUAACCGUAAGACGUCAAUUUUAGAAGAAAUAAAAGAAAAGUUGAUGUGUUUAUUAUGGAUAUUGAGUGACACACAGGAUUUGUUUGACCUCGGACCUAUCAUUAUUUAUUAACAAAAUUAUGAAAACUCACCACCUAACAAAUAACACAUAAUCACAACAAUUUUAUCCAAUAAUCAUAUCAAUUUUUGAAUUUCCAUAUUGAUUUUAUAACUUAGUCACUUUGUUACGUUACCUUUUGGGGUGUUUUGUUUUCAUUUAGUAACUAGGUUUCCAAUUUGACAAUUUUACUAUUUGGGUUGGAGUUUUAAUUGGUUUAAUUUGGUUAAUAAGUUUUAAGAAUCACACUAAUUUGAAUUUUAGUUUUUUUUAUUGGAUACUCACUUCCGUUGAUUAAUUAAUCUAGUAUUUAGUUGACAAAUUUGAGAUUAAAUGUAAAUCUUGAAAUAAAUGAAUUAACUACAAGUAAAAUUAUAACAUUUUAAAACUAAGGUUUAGUUUGGACAAAAUGUGUAAUAGAAAUCAAUGAGAAUAAAGAAAGAAAUUGGAUCCAUCUGUGUGUUAUGCAAUUGUAUUUGUACAUAAAGAUCACAUCCAAAUAUGUAAUGAAAUAACACAAUUUGAUUGAUGAGUUGAACGUGUUUAAUUUGAUUAUGUUUGAGAAUUCCGUCAUAUCGUUAUUGUUAUAGCUAUCAUCAUUGUUACUAUCGUUACAUUUUUAAACUUUGAUAUUUGUAUUGCCUACCAAUACUACUUGAUCCUUAAAUUCAGAAUUUUAAGUAUAUGUAAUAAAAAAAAUUCAAUUAUAUUUGAAAUUUAAGCUUAUUAUCACAUUUAUUCAUGAAUGAAAUUUGAUUGUGAUUACAUCAAUUUUGUUUAUAGUUUAAUAAACAAAAUCUUAUAAAUACUAAAUGGAAGUUACUCAAAAUUGAGGGUAACUUUUUGAAACUCAUAAGAUGUUUGACUCACUCUUGAACUAAGAAAUAAAAAACUAAACUCAAAAUCUGGAGAAAAAAAUAUUUUUUUGAGUAAUAGUAAUAAAGUAUAAGUGUGGUAUGAAAGGAGGAAUCUUCAUAGUUCAUAUGUACAGUUCUAAUUCCCUUCUCUCUGUUUGUUUCCCUACGCGUUCUAAAGUCAAAGUCAUCGCCUUACACUUCCAACCUUCCCCAUUUUUAUAUUUCCCUUUAUAUCCCCUCCCUUUCUUUCUCUUCAAAUACAUACAUAUCUCUCUCCUAAUUAACCCCUCUUUAACAAUUUAUUUACAUUUCUUCUUCUUCUUCUUCUCUCUCUCUGCAAAAUUUUCAUGGCCGGAGGUGGCGCCGGAAGGUCCUUGGAAGAGACGCCGACAUGGGCCGUCGCCGCCGUGUGCUUUGUUUUGGUUCUGAUUUCUAUUAUCAUCGAACACAUUCUCCAUCUCAUCGGAAAGGUACACCCCAAACCCAAAUACGGCAUCGUUUCAUCACUUGAUCAUCAAACCCCAUUAUUAUUUCCUUCCUUUUCUUUUGUCUCACUUUUUCAAAAUUGGAUUUUAGUGGCUAAAGAAGAAACACAAACGAGCUCUCUACGAAGCUCUGGAGAAGAUUAAAUCAGGUAUCUAUUUGUCGGAAAAUUAGAUAAUUUAAUUUAAAUUAAAAAGAGUAAAAUGAAGAUUUGAUCAUAACGAUGAAAUGGCAGAACUGAUGCUGUUGGGAUUCAUAUCGCUGCUGCUGACGGUGGGACAAAGCCUAAUCACAAAUGUUUGUAUACCACCUGACGUGGCAGCCACGUGGCAUCCAUGUAGUCCUCAAAGAGAAGAAGAAUUAACUAAAGAAGCUGACCUCGUCGAUUCCGACCAAAAUCGUCGAAAACUUCUCGCCCUCUCCCAUCACGUCAACGCCACCUUCCGCCGUUCCCUCGCCGCUGCCGGUGGUACCGACAAAUGUGCUGCCAAGGUAUUUACAAUUAUUUACACAACCAACUAAGAGAUUCAUUAAUUAUUAAUUAGUUAAACAAAUGUUAGUUUACAAAAAAGUAUUUGAUUACGAAAACGACACGUCGGAGUCUUUGUAAACGAUUUUGAAAAGUGAGUCCUUUUGAAUUGAGUCUAGUUAUCUACAUCCACAAGCAAAAACUGUUUAAUUAAAUUUGACAUCACCAUUUCUGUUGCAUCAAAUUAAAAUUCGACACCUGUCAAUUUACCAAAAAAAUCUUAAUAUGUACAUUAAUAUAUAUAUAAUACUGUAUUUAGACUAAAAAUAUUAAAAAAAAUGAAAAACUAAACUUAAAUAUCAGUUUGCACGUAUAACAAAAUUUAUAUCUAGUUUUUGUUUUAGAGGUUUUAUCAUAUUUAUGGUUUUUAGUAAUUGAUUGCGACAUACUCUUAUUUAUUGAUAACUUUAACGGUGAGUAAUUUAAAUAUGACACAGGGUAAAGUUCCAUUUGUAUCGGAAGGGGGUAUUCAUCAGCUACAUAUAUUCAUCUUCGUACUGGCAGUUUUCCAUGUUUUGUAUUGUGUUUUAACUUUAGCUUUGGGCAAUGCCAAGGUAAUUUCAUUUAAAUUUUCAUAUAUAUAUAUAUAUAUAUGUAUGUAUAAAGAUUAUUUUUUAGGAUGAUCCAGUAAUAUGUUUUUUCAAAAUUGAAAUAUAUAAACAGAUGAGAAGUUGGAAGUCAUGGGAAAAAGAGACAAGAACUGUGGAGUAUCAAUUCUCACACGGUAAAUCCAAAUAUUUUAAUUUCAAACAAACUUAAUUAAAAAUGUAUAGAUAAGAAUUAUUUAUGCUAAUGAUUGUGUUCAAACACAACAGAUCCGGAACGGUUUCGAUUUGCAAGAGACACGUCAUUUGGGAGAAGACAUUUAAGCUUUUGGACAAAAUCCCCUUUCCUCAUAUGGAUUGUAAGUUGAAAAAUAAUCUCUCUUUAUUUACAUUAUUAAUUAAGCGGAAACAGACUUUAUGAGGUUUUAUGGACUUUGGUUAAUUAGAUUAGGGACCACCACUUAAUUAAUACCACACCAUGUGCUUCCCCUUUUCUUUUUUAAUUUCUUUCCAAUUUAAUUACUAUCCAUAGUUUUGGAAAAUUACUAUUAGCAACUCCUAAAUUUUGCAAAGCUUAUGAUUAUACUUUUCUUUUUUUUCCUUUUUUCCUAUGAUCAAUUUUUUAGGGCGCUGGGAUUGUAAAACGUAGCGUCAUUGAACGUGUUUGAAUCAUUAUGUUAUAUUAAUAUUUCUUUUACCGUUAUUUCCUCUGUUUUACGUAUUUCUUUUGCCUUUUUAGGGGACACUUUUUUAUCCUUUCACAUUUCUUUGUCUAUGCCCUUCGCCCCCAACUUUUUGUUCUUUUAUUUUAAUGUUUAAAUAUUCAUCUCUCUAACUUUUAUUUUGAUAUUUAUAUUCUUAAUUUUGACUCAUUUGGAUGGAAAAAAUACCUCUAUUUUAAUGCUUUCAAAAAUGGAACCUACAUAUCAUAAUAGUCAUUUUUAAAAAAGUAUAAUGACUUGAAUGAAAAUAAGUACAUAUUUUUAUUUAUGAUAUGUUUGAAAAACAUUUCGAAAUGUUUUUAGAAAAUAAAUGGUUUUGUGGCAAAUUUUAGUUAAUAAAAUAAACAAUUUUUUUUCUCUAGUCUUUGAUUGGAUUCUUUGAAUGAUACACUCUAGAAUUUUAUAGUUUUUAUUUUGUUUAAAAAUAUAGUAUGUGAUUUUAAAUUUCAUACUAUAUUUAUUUUUUGGCCACAUAAUUAUGAAAUUGAUGGAACCUAAGGUAGAAAUGGUUUUACGAUGUUGACUAUUUUUUGGUUAUUAACCAAAAUUCUUGCUUUGGCGAUCAAUCUCUUUUAACCCUUAGCGUGUGCAUGGCUUCUAAUCAUUAUCAUUGGCUCCUGAUUUUCCCAUACUACUAAUUUAGAAAAUCAUAAUAUGAAUAAUGAAGGACAUCAAUCAGUGCAAAUUUAUUAUUAUAUAAAAAGUCAAAAGAAUUAUUGGAAGUACUCUUUCUUUUGUCGAUCUUUUCUUCUCUUUAAUUCUUUGUUGGUUGCAGCCCUAAUUAAUGAAUCUUUUUUCUUUUCUUUCUUUCUUUUUGUGUGGAUAGGUUUGUUUCUUCAGACAAUUCGUUAGGUCGGUUCCAAAGGUUGAUUACUUGACCUUAAGACAUGGUUUCGUCAUGGUUAGUUCAAUAUUGUUUUUAAAUAAAUAUAUAUAUAUGUGUGUGUGUGUGUGUGUUUUUGUGAUAAUUUGAAGAUAUUUUUAAUUUGAGGUUUAAAGCAAUUAGCAUAUGAUAUUGAUUAGGCACAUCUGGCACCGCACAGCGAUCAGAAAUUUGACUUUCAAAAAUACAUAAAACGAUCUCUUGAAGAAGAUUUCAAGGUGGUGGUCAGUAUCAGGUAAAAUGUGUUACCAAUUCAGCCCCUCUUCAUUUUACUUAUUCACAUAUUAUUAUUCCCUACCCCCCUCAAAGCUUUAAAUUAAUUUAAACAUCUUUAAUUAACAGCCCUCCGAUAUGGUUCUUUGCUGUCCUCUUCCUACUUUUCAACACCCACGGUGAGUGGAAUAUCAUAAUUAAUUAUUACUUAAUUAAUUAAGCUAAUUAAAUUAUAUAUUAUAAUGAAUCAAUCUUAAUUUGUUUGUUUGUUUGGCAGGGUGGAGGGCUUAUCUAUGGCUACCCUUUGUUCCGUUAAUUGUAAGAUUGAGAAAUAUAUGGUGUCAAUUUGAUAUUUAGGGAUAAUUAAUAGCUUUCUUUUUUGGUCUACUUUUUAUUUGAUUCAUUAAUUUUGGUUUGUGUUGAAAAUGUUAUCGAUAUAAAAAUGGUGGUGGUGGUGUGUAUGCAGAUAGUGUUAUUGGUGGGGACAAAGUUGCAAGUGAUAAUAACGAAAAUGGCGCUGAGGAUACAAGAAAGAGGAGAAGUGGUGAAAGGAGUGCCGGUGGUAGAGCCAGGGGAUGACCUUUUUUGGUUCAAUCGCCCUCGUCUUAUUCUUUACCUUAUCAAUUUUGUCCUCUUCCAGAAUGCCUUUCAGCUUGCCUUUUUUGCUUGGACUUGGGUAUUUCUAUUUUCUUUUUUUUUUAAGUAUUCUUCUCUCCUUUUUCUUCUCAUCUAUAUGUUUUUUAUUUUUCCAGAAAGAAUUUGGGAUGAAAUCUUGUUUCCAUGAGCACACAGAGGAUUUGGUCAUCAGAAUAACAAUGGGGUAAAUUUCACUAACCACACCCAACAUAUUCUUAUUCCAUUUACACUAUGCAUCAAAGUUAGGUAAAUUUUAUAUUCCCCUCAUUAAUUUUUUAAAUUAUAAAGUCUCAUGUCACAAAUAUUGCAUUUUUUCUUCUUCCAAACAUAAUUACAUCAGCCUCCGUAUAUAUAUAAUGUGCAUCAAUAUCCUAUCACAUAAUUUCAUAUGAUAGAGUUUUGUUUUAAUACUUUUUUUUCAUUUCACAUUUAGUUCUUACAUUUUGGUUUAUUAAUUUAUGUCUUUUCAAUAUAUCUUUAGGUUUCCAAUUUUCAAAUUUCAUAAAAAGAAAGGCUAAAAGAGACUAAUUUAUAUAUUUAUAAUAGUAAUAAAGUUAUAAAAGUAAGACAUGUUUAUGAAGCAUUUGGAACACGGAGUUGAUUAUAAUUAUAUGGUGGGUAUAGAUCAAAAUGGUAUAAUUGAUGUUCAAUCAAGUUAUCUGCUUUAGUUUGUGUAAAUUACAAUAAAGUGAUCAUAUUAUUUGAUUAUUGCAUCAGGGUUCUCGUUCAAAUCCUUUGCAGUUAUGUCACAUUGCCACUUUACGCUCUAGUCACACAGGUAUGUUUCACUAAAAAAAAAUGCAUUACAUCUCAAACCCAUAUAAUAUAAAUUCUAUUCCAUUAUCAUUAACUCUAAUUAAAAUUUUCAAUUAUUAAGAUGGGUUCGACGAUGAAGCCCACGAUUUUCAACGAAAGAGUAGCGACGGCGUUGAGAAAUUGGCACCACACCGCUCGUAAACACAUAAAACAAAAUCGUGGCUCAAUGACGCCGAUGUCGAGCCGCCCUGCAACCCCCUCCCACCACUUGUCACCCGUCCACCUCCUUCGCCACUAUCGAAGCGAAUUAGAUAGCGUUCAUACGUCUCCUAGAAGAUCCAAUUUCGACACCGAUCAGUGGGACCCUGAUUCCCCUUCCCCUUCCCCUUCUCACCACUUUCAUCGUCGUCCCCAUCCCGGCGACGGCUCCAUUUCCAACCAUCACCGUGAUGUGGAGGCCGGGGAUCUUGAUGUCGAUGUUGAAUCGCCUCAACCCGACCGAACGACCCAGUCAAUAAACCCAACAAAUAUUGAGCACCAUGAAAUUGACGUGGGGUCUAACGAAUUCUCAUUCGAUAGAAGAGUUGAUAGAGUAUAAUGCUAAUUUUAACUUUUUUUUUCUUUUGUUAAUUGCUAUUAUUGUAGGCGAGAUUCAAUCUUGACCGUUGAUGAUUGGAGUUAUUCUUUUUGAAAUGAUGCAAUUUUUUGGUUGCAUUGUUCUGUAUAUUAUUAUCACAUCAUUUGGGGUGAGGUUGGGGGUUGGUAUAAUUAUAAAGGAAAAAAUAGAAGUAGAGCUUUUCUUUUUCUUUGGUUGUAUUUAUACACUUUAUUGUUGGUUGAUGUAAAUGGGAGAUUUUUGUGGUUUUUUUUUUGGUUUUAAAAAGCCAAUUUCAUUUAAAGAAACUAAACAUAACCCAUCAGACUUCUCAAUAGAGGUUGAGAAGAGCAAAAUCCAAAAUAAUACAAAGAAAUGAGUUACUUAGGUAGAUUGCAAUAAACAAACCAAUCCAAUUUGUCAUUACAACACUGCCCAUGUAGGCCAAGCAAUGUGGCAUCCUAUUUGCACCACAGGCACACCAAUCAAAGAAGAGGACAUGAGUAAACUCGCUCAACUUCACAAUCUCAACAACGACCCCCCGCUAACUCCAACGAAAUCAUACUCUUUAUCAUUUUUAGUUUUUGUCAGCAUCCUCCUAUAAGCAAUAAAUUUAUUUUAAGGUUACUUUUCUUUCUUUUUCUUUUUUUUUUUUUUUUUUGACUUUGGGGAUACCUUUUACAUUUGCUUUGCUUUUUAUUAAUUAAAUAAUGGACCACUUUCACAUGGGUAAUUUAGACUUAGAUUCUCAAUUAUUCUUUUGGUUCAUAGUGUGAAUGUGAGCCAUCUUUUAAUUUGUUGACAUAUUUAAGUUUGGAUUGAAUCUUCAAAAUCAAAAUAAAAAUGAGACCAAAUCAUCAAAUAUCAUACAUUAUUGAGUUCAUUACCAUAAAAUCUAGUUGCUUUUACCACUCCAAUAUAAAUGGUCUACGACAAUAGUUAUUUUCUAUCGCGAACAAAAUCUGUGACAAUUAUUUAUAGUCAUAGUAUCGCCUGUUGUGGAAAUAAAUUUUUUAUGACAGAAAAUAAAUGUCAUUAUUUUUUAUUCUAUGACAACAAAUAACUGUCAUAUUUUAUUUUAUAACAACAAAUAACUGUCAUCAUUUGCCUAUUAACGACAUUUACAAAAAUGUUGCGAAUUCGUUUAUUAUGACAUUUUUGUAUAUGUCAAAGAUAUAUCAAUCGUGACAGUUUUUAUAAAAAUAAAUGUCAUCAUUUCGGUAUUUAUGACAGUUACAAAAAUUUCUCAAAUUCAUAUAUUAUGACAAUUUUUCCUGUCAAGGAUAUGUCAAUUGUGACAGUUUUUUAUAAAAGCAAAUGUCAUUGUUUCGCUAUUGACGACAAUUAUAAGAUUUCACGAAUUUGUAUAUUAUAACAUCUUUUCCUGUCAAAGAUAGGCCAAUCGUGACAGCUUUUUAUAAAAUUAAAUUGUCAUUGUUUUAAUAUUGACAAUAAUUAUAAAAUGUCAUGAAUUCGUAUAUUAUGACAUUUUUUUCUUGUAGUAUAUUCCUCAAAUACUAGAGUUUUUCACUGUUCUUCUUGUCGCUAUUCCAUUACACUAACCAAUACAUCACACUCAUAUGGAAACAAAGAGUCGACCUUUAAUAUAUAUACGCUAUAAUACACUUUGUAAUAUUCGUACAUCCAUUGAAAGGUAGUUUACACACAAAAAGAAUAAACAUUAAGAUCUUUAGGUACCAACAAGUUUAACAUUAGUACAUUGGAACCAAAAUUUUUCUACCAACCAUACAAAGGUCCUAUAUCAAUCCAUUGCUCCAUGUUGGCUUCACUGCUCCAAUGGAUUCUUCCAAACCUAGUAAGAAGACAAAAUCUCAUUUUAGAGUAAGAACAUUUAAAAGAAGGUUUUAUUUAAAGCUAGUUAAUACACAGAAGAGAACAAUAACCAUAACUUCAAUUAUAACAUUUCCAAUCAAGUUUGAAAGAUUUUACAAGUACAUUAAAAACAAUUGUGAGAUUAUAAGAGAAUAACUAGAGUGUUGAAACUUGUAAGUAUAUAAGCGGUAAGUUACAAAUUAUGAAAAAAAUAUGUAUAUACAGUCAAGAGGGCUGAAAAUAACAAUGCAAACUGUCAAGAGGGCUAGAAUGCCCUUAAUUCCCCCCUUCCCCUAAAUGAUUAAUCAAUUCAAGUCGAGGGCUAGAAAUUGACCCAUGUAAACUGUCCAAUUCCAGCCCCCUAAUUCCCUCAUUCUCCCCCAUUGCCCUUAAUUCCUCCACCCUCCCCUCUGCCUUAACUAAAAACGCAAAAUCUAUAUAUAUAUAUUUUUAAAAUGAAGAAAUCAAUAUGUAUGGAAGGAUGGUAAAGUUGAGAAUACAUAAAAUAAAAAGGAAGUUACAAAUAAAUUGAGGGUUGGAAAUUGACCCAUGUAAACAAUCCAAUUCCAGCCCCUAGGCACAAUUGGAUGUGAAGCAACAGAGUAUAUUCAAAUUCUAAAAUUACAAAUAAUGCUUUCCUAACUGAAAUAUAAGUAUAUCCUUAAGUAUGCGUCCUCUAAAUGAAAUAUAACUUAAUUUGCAAACUCAACAUGAAACAUGAUCUUAUUCAAACUUGCAGAAAAUGAAAAACGAAAAGCUUGUAAGAUGCACAAUUCUUCAUGAAAAACCUGAACUUAAAGAAAAUGGAAAAUGAAAAACGAAGUAGAUUCAAAUUAUAAAAUUAGAAAUAACGUAAUUUUAUAAUUGAGAGGUCGGGGGUCGAAUUGCGACAAUUUCUGCUUGUUGUAUGCCCUCAAAUAAAAGGGUUCCAUGAACACAGACUUAUACUUCAAAAAUACAUGAGUCUUCCUAAGAAAAAAAAUGCAGAAACAUUCAUAUUCGUUUAAAUUUAAUUCUCAGUUGGGAACAUAUAUGUAAAUGUGAGAUGGGAACUUUUAAACUUACCUCUAUGGUCCUUUAGUUUGUUAAAAAAUAUGGUUUAAACAUUUACAUACAUGUCCUUCAUGUUCAACAAAAUUAUAUCCACAAAAAAAGAUCAACAAAAUACUUCAAAAAAAGUUUACAAAAAAGUCUAACGCUAAGCACGAUAUAUGUGCUUAGAUAGGAACUCUGUCCAUUCAGAUCUAACUUCAUCGAUGUCACCUUGAUAGUAUGUACAUGAGUUUGAUUCAAAAUAAAUGACAUGAUGAUAUUUUUAAAAUUGGUAUACUUACGAUAUCUACAAUGCAAAUACUGCUUGACAAAAUUAUUUCACGCAUGAACGGCAUGACAUAGUACUCGCAUUCUACUACCCCUGAUUGUUUGGAAGACUAUGGAUGCACAUACAACAAUAUACAUGUAUGUUAAAAGUAAUAACUAAUUUACAACUAUCCUAACAGACAAAUUUACAUACCUUCAUGACCUUCCAGUUUGACUUUUUUUUUUUUGUUUUGACACUAGAAGAAAACUACCCUACAAUGACAGUUAUAUAUCUCAAAAAAUGAAUGGAAGAAAAAAAAACUGUCACGAAAUAUAAAAUUUCGCAUUUUUGGCGGGAAAAGACGGAAUUUUUCGGAAAACACUUUUCGUGACAGUUAUUAACUGUCAUAGAAUGUUAGGGUUAAAAUUUUUUUCUUUUUUUCUUUUCUUUUCUUUUUCCUUUUUCUUUCUUUUCCCUAUUUCCUUCUUCCUCCCCGUGCGUCCUUCCCCUUCUCCCCAGCCGCAACCGCCGCGCCUCUUCUCCUUCCUCCCGUACGCCGCGACGACUCCACCGUCUCCUUCUCCUUUCCUUCUCUUUUCUCUUUUCCUUCCGCCGUUCCCUUCCGUCUUUCUUUCCGCCGCAGCCCAGCCGCCCCAUCCUUCCCCUUCUCUCCGUUCGCGAAGCAAAACCGCCACCGACCGACCUCCAUUCCUCUUCUCCUUCCCGUUCGCAGCCCCGCCGCAAACCGUCGCCUCCCUUCCCUUCCAUUUUCUUCUUCCGUCCGCAGCCCUGCCGCAAACCGCCGCGUCUCCCCUACUGAAGCCGAGCGCCGCGACCCUUCUCCUCUUCUCUUCAGUUCGCAAAGCAGCCGUACGCGUCCAGAUCUGCCGCCGUCCAGAUCUGCACCGCAAGACCGCGUCGUUGCCCUUCCGCCGCUGCCCGGUCCAGAUUUGCGUCGCCGUGCACAGCCUCACCGCCGCUGAAACCGUUUCCGCGUCUUGUUCUGUUUCCCGUCGAAGCCGAGCCACCGUGUGAAGCAGUAACCGCCACGUCCGCCGCUCACAACCGCCGUCCACCGAUCCCUUCUCCUCCGUUGUCUGCACUGCCGCGCGACUCUCCGGCCGUCUGUAUACGGUCUCUCCGUCGCACGUCGUCUCUUCGCAAAGCUACUGCUCGAUUUCUUUCGCAAAACACUAAAUGAAAAAUGCAAUUAUAUCAAAGUUGAUGUCCUAAAGAAGAAAAGUAAAAGAGAAAAAGGGAUUUGGGGGCGAAACUCCGGGACGGGGACAGAGGGCCUGAGAAAAAUGGCGGCAAGGCAGAAAGCGGUGGCGACGCUGCCUAAUCUAAUUAGAACCCUUAAAAAUGAUCGCCGGAAGCCUGGUUUCAGCCAGCCUCUUCCGUCGUUGAGACGUGCCUUUUCACUUUACGAUCAGAUCAAUCUCAUCGACAAUGUCCCUGAAGAUCAGCUUCGUUUUCAACGGUACUGCCCUAACUUCUCCUUUUUGUCUUUUGCAUCGAUUUCUUUCCUCAAUUUUAUAUCUUUGACUCUUUUAUGCGGGGAUUUAAGGUAUACUGAGACGGGGUUCACUGUGAAUGGAGUGGAUUAUGAGGGCAGCUUGCUUUGUGUUGGGAAUUUGUUGAUGUCUUGGACUCCUAAGAAAUUUUCGGAAAUUACGUCUGAUAGGUUUGCUUUGCAUUUCUUGUUCCUAACUUACAAUACUCAAUUUACUUCCUUUGUUCUUUUUGGUGAUUGAAAUGUUUUUUUUUUUUUUUUUUUUUGCAGCUUAUCUAUCUUCCAGAUUGUGCGCCCUAUUCCAGGUAAAAUCUGUUGUUGUGUUUGGAAAAUGUGUUGAAUUAUUGGGCAUUGUUGAAGUAGUUUUAAUACGAGUGUCUAAAGAUACCUAGAUUUGACGUUUCUAUUGAAAUGUGUUUAUUACUAAAGGACGUCUGUGAUUUUCCUUGGCAAUUGGUGCCCAAAUGUUAUAUGGUAAGUUGUAUUGUCCUGUCAGAUUAUUGAGGUGAAGUGCAAGCUGGCCCGCGACUGUGGACGAGUAAGGUUCUUGGACUAGUUUUUCUGUGCUUGAGCAUGAGCAAGACUUUAACUUUAUCAUUCCUUUCCUUCUUUCAAUACUGUAACAUGUGGGGUAAGAUUUUCACGUCUGCCUUAGACGAGGAUAUCAUAUGAGAUAGUGCAGGUUGUGGCCUAAUUGUUCCUUUGAAGUAUCCCACAAUACAACCAUGCCUUAGUUUUGCUGUUUAAAUAAUUAGAUUUUUGAUAAUUUGACUCGUGUACCUAGUUAAAAAUGUAGACGGAUCUGAAGCUUUUAAACAGGAAGAUGAUGAGGAUUUUUUUUUCUUCACUCUUUCUCGUUUUUUUCUUCCUUCUCUCUCUUUCGGCUGAUAAGCAAGUCUACCCUCCAUAUACCUUUCUUUGGCACUCCGGACCGGUCUUAAUACUCCAUCCAGCUAGGUGAUAGCUUCUAACCUCUGCCGAUAUUCACACCUUCCCGAUCCCGAUACUCUCUCUAUUUUGAUUAUGCUAGAAGAGGGAAGAGGACCAAAUGAGAUAUUUACAUCAGCUAGCUAAUGUUGUAAGGGACGUGUAAUAUGUUAUAGAGGAGAUGGGAGAAUGAAUCUAGAAUUUGUAAAUUUGUUAUUGAGAAAGGGAGGAAUAACAUAAUUAGAGUGGACUCGUAAUAUUUAUCAAUUAAAAGCUUCUUGAAUAUGUGAAAGAUUUGCACUUUUCAGCCAUUGAAUGAAUUACCCAAGACCUAAACUCUUGUUUCUUUAUUCUUUCUCUGAUUCUGAGAUGAGGAUGUCAAGUGUACGUUUCUGUUAACAAGGUUUAUGGUUUUCUUUCUUAGGCAUUCUUCUAGAAUCUGACAUGAGAGAUUACUUCCAUUUAAAGUUGAAUGCAUAAGCUAGCCUGUAAACCAAAUAUUCUGUUUAUUUUCGAGCUCUGCCGUCAUCAUCUUAGUGCCGUGUAUUGUUCAUAUUUGCUCUUUGCUAGCACAUUUUUGUUGAUUUCUACUGUCAACUGAUUAAUUUUCUUAAUUUUAAUUUUUUUUAAAUCUUUCUUAUUGUCAGAAAUUCUAAUACUUGGCUGUGGGAGAUAUACUGAACCAGUAAAUCCUGAAUUGAGGCAGUUCAUUCGUUCCACUGGCAUGAAGUUGGAAGCUGUAGACACGGUACUUUUGGUUUGAAAUUAUGUUGUUUGUCGAAUUUGUCUUGAUCCAUAAGAUAAUUACUUUUCAUGCAUCUGAAAAUCAAGAUUUUGAGCUAUCUUAUGGGUCUGUGACUAUUGGUGGGAAACAGUAUAUUCUUUGUUUAGGAUAAGAAAAUAGGUGGGAAAACAUCCACCAACCAUAAUAGCCUCGUCAAAAGAGAUUGUAGUGGGUUACUGUAUUGUCUAGUUUGUGAUAAGAUAAAUUAACGUGUCAUCAAUUCACCAGUAACAUCCUCUUUUCCUUACAAUCCCUUGAUCAGAUGGGUAUUAAAGACUUUUUAGUGUAGGAUAUUAAAAACCACAUGUUUCUUCAUCAAUAAAAAGAAAAGAAAAAAAAACCAACCCACAUGAUGUAGUGGAAAUAGGAUCUGAAUUAUAGGUGAUAUUUGAGAAUGAUGUUAAGUUCAACUGUUCAAGAACUAUCUUUAGAGCCAUAUGUCAACUUUUGCUUAAGAAAGAAACAAGUGGGUUGUUGUUGAGUAAAUUACCAAUUACAAUGAUCAACCGGGGACUUGCUAGUUUAAACAGUGGGCUGUUUGGAAUCUCGAAUGGUCUCAUUUUGUCUAAAUUUAACUAGUUUUUGACACGAUGGAUAAUUUGUUACUGUAGAUCAAGUAGUUAUCUGCACUCUCUCUUUCUCUCAAGGCAAAUCAUCCAUGUCCAGCAAUUCUCUUCAUAUCCUAUGUAUUUCCGUACACUACAAACCUAAUCGAUAUUUGAUAUUUGAAAAAUGAGGGUACUUCAGAUAUAGGGCAGAAUUAUGCACUCUACUUGGGAAGAGGGCUGUCUCUUCUUGUACAACUACUUUUCACUUAACCUUUAACCUCAGACCUUGGGGAGGUUGAGAGUACAUGUAUAGACCAGUUGACCUAUGUUCGAGUUGGCAUGUUUAUCCUUAACAAAGCUUUGUUAUUUGCAGAGAAAUGCGACAUCAACUUAUAAUAUCCUAAAUGAGGAGGGUAGAAUUGUAGCUGCAGCGCUUCUGCCUUAUGGAGUUUCUUCAUGACCCACCGCCCAGAGCCAGACUCGGUUGUUGUUAUGGAUGCCUCUAAAUUGCAGGAUUCUUCUACCUCUCAAAUCUUACAAGUAUUACUUAGCGCUUUGAUCUCUACUCAUUUGUAGACUGACUACAACUAUCGAGUCAUUUGGUCCUUUUUGCUGUAUAGAUAUACUGUUAUUGUCAUAACCUGCCAUCAAGAAUUAUAGUGUAUAUAUAUUAAAGUGUUGGCUAUUUUUUUGUACAUUGGUGUGAAACUUGUAUAAUUUCAAAUUUGUCAUUCUCAGCUACAUUAUUGUCAUUCUAAUGGUUCGUGUAAUGGUGGAGCUGCAUGGAGAACAGAAUAAAACUAUAGGAAAUUGAGAAAUGUGAUAGUUAAUAGUUGUUGUAAAUUGGAGAACGAUGACAGUUAUUUAACAAAAUAAAUUGUCACGAUUGCUCUAUAUGUGACAGGAAUAACAUGUCGUCAUAAGAUAAACAAUGACAAUUUUUUUUAAAAAAAAAACUGUCACGAUUGCAUUAUAUUUGACUGGAAAAAAAUGUCGUCAAUGGCAAAACAAUGACAUUUUAAUGUUAUCGAAAAACUGUCACGAUUGCACAAUCGUUGACUGGAAAAAAAUGUCGUCAAUAACUAAACAAUGACAUUUUUACAAAAAAAAAACUGUCGCGAAAAACAUAUUCAUGACAAUUAAUACAUGUCACGAUAAUAGAAUUCGUGACAAUUAUUUAACUGUCGUUAAUAAAGAAAUGAUGAUAGUUAUUGAAUGUCAUAAAAUAAAUUAUGACAGUUAUUGAAUGUCGUUGAAUGUUGAUUAACGACAUUUAUUUCAUGUCAUAAAACAACCUAUUGCGGCAGUUUUCAAAAACUGUCGUCGAAGGCCUUUCCAUGACUCCCGCUUCUAUGACUGAAAAUAACUGUCGCGAAAUCCGUUCGCGACAGUAAAUAACUGUCAUCGUAGCCCACUUUUGUACUAAUGUGAAUAACCUACAAAAUAAUAUAGGAAUGUUACGUACUUAAAGUAGUUGCAUACAGAAAAAAUAAAUUAACGAUAUAAGUAUGUCAUACAUUUCAAGUAUUUUAGACAUGUCUUUUCAAUUCGGUUCUUCAAAGGGUCAAUCCAAAACGCAAUACCCUUUAUGUGAUUUACAACGACCAAACUCCAGUUAUUGCUAAGAAUACGUUUCAAACAGUAUGACUUCAUAUUGAACUAGUGGUUUCAAACAUGAAUGACAGUGAAAAUAUCAUGAUCAUGCACUUACUCGGAGUUGUAAGGGAACAGUUACUAGUUGGUCAUACUCCGCUGCAAGCAAUCGAGUAUUCAACAACUGUGCGCACGAUUCUUUAUAGCUCAAAAACUGACAGAUCCAACAUUCAAGAACUUGUAUAAAUUCAAACUUCUGUCUUCAUCCAUAAUUGUGUAAAGGUAGUUACAAGUGUAAUGACAAGCAAAUGCAAUAAAAUGAAAUUACAAUAAGUGGAAAUACAAAAAAUAUAUAUGCUUCUUAGGGGUGUACAAAUAUGGGUUGAACCCGAAUAACCCGAACUACCCAACCCAAAUUAAUAUAGUAUAUAAAUAUAAAUAUAAAUAUAAAUAUAUAUAUAUAUAUAUAUAUAUAUAUAUAUAUAUAUAUAUAUAUAUAUAUAUAUAUAUAUAUUAUUUUAACAAAAAAACAAAUUAAACUAGAAAAUGGGAAAAAACCUUUUAAAAAAUAUUUAUAUAUACAACCAGACAACCUAUCCCAACCUAACCCAUAUUUUACGGGUUGUGUUGAAUUGAGUUAGAAACUAAAUUUAGGUUAUCAACCGAAACAAUUCGAAAAUAUGGGUUGGGUUGAGAAUGUCUCCCAACCCAACCCAAUUUCACUCCUAAUGCUUCUUUUACUGUAAUAACAAAUCUUACAUCAUGUACGCAUCGAGACAUGCAGUACAUGUUGGCUGCAUCGAGGAGAAAUCUUCCAGCGACUCAAUCAUUAUGCAACAUUUCCUUCUCAUACCGAAGACCUCAAUGGACAUGAUUAUUUGAAAAUGUGACCCCAUAUGCUCAACUAAUCUUACCAAACACCUAAGGGUCACUGGAACACGCUCAUAUGAUGCAUUUGAGAAUUUGGGCGGAUCCUUACUCAAAACUCGCAGUCUCCUUGUAACACAAAGAUUACAACUAAUGUUAGCAUUAAUUGAUGCAUGGAAUAGCAAUGCAAGAAGACAUAUUAUCUUCUCAUUCCUGGUGACGACAAUAUGUCAUGGCCACAUUAAGUGUGAACCCACAUUUUGUGACAUUUUGAUGAGUCAUUUCUUCAUCGAGAUGGGAAUUGCACAUUCACCAUCCAAGACAACAUCAACCGACACCUCCAUGUUGUCACCAUCACCUUUUGAAUCAAAUAUUGUCCUGUGGACAAUGAUAUUAUCUUGUGUUUCAAAUGCCAACAUACAUGAGGUUCCAACCUAUGUAUAAGUAUUUGUUAAAUAUGUGGAUGUACACGUAAAUAUAGUAAAUAAUCGCACAACACUUUAGAAUCAUGAAAUGUGAUCAAAACUAACCUUCAUUUGAUUUGAUCUCACAUCCGCCACAGUCUCUUCUUCCCCUUCCACGUUAACCCUUAGUAAAGAAAGUGCCUUGUUAGGAAAGAAUGCAAAGAAAACAUCUAACUUUAAAGGAUUAAAGGUUCGUAAAAAAUAAACAUCCAUUUCUUUCUUGACUUCGGCCACGUCAUCUGCGACUUUCUCUGGUUCUAAAUUAGUGGCUACAUCUUCAACCUCAUUAUCUGAAUCCUCUUUAUUUGAUGGUGUUCCUCUUGAACACAUACUACGUUAUUCUUGUUUGUCUUUUACGCUACCCUCACCUUUUUUCUUUUUUCCUAGCUCUGCUUCUAACUUCUUAAUUCUUUUCACCAUUCCGUCCCGUUCUUCAUACAUUGUCUUCUUCUCUUACUUUGUUUCGAUUUUGAAGUUGUUGGGGUAUGAAAAUACUUUUUCUUGGUGGCGUACUUUCCCACUCCUUAGACUAUUCUCGAUUGAUCUUUUUCACCCAAUGCUUAGGUUAGUACAUCGUCACCACCUGAUAAAUCCUUCUGGUUGGCUAAUAGUUCAUCCCUAACAAAGUAGGAAAAAUGGAAAUUAUUAGUUGUGCAACAAUGCAAAAAAUGUUAGUCAAUGUAUCAACUUACAAUAAGAUGGACAACGUCCUUCGUCUCUUUGAAUGCAAAUUCUCCCUUGCGAUCCAAAUGCGCAUGUUUUCGUAUGACUGAUCGAUCAAUUUGAUCGGACGAAGAAGACACACGCUAUAUAUAAAGAAUAGAUGUUAUAUAAUAUAACAAAAAUAUUAAAUAAAUAGAUGUUUACUACUUGAAUAACCAAAUAUGAUAAAAAUCGCGACUUACCAACUACUCAACCAGAUUGACAUACCUCUUUAGAUGUACGAUGGUUGUAUUUGUUUUGCUUCCUUUUCAGUUUCACUUCUUUACUCUUUUUCUUUAGAAAAAAUUGUAUCAACUCAAUGUCAUUAGCAUAUGCAGGUAAUAAGUGUAAAUAUAGUCUAAGAAAUGGUUUGAGUCUUCAUACUCACUUCAAAAUCUUCCUUUAAGCGUGAAGCGACAAAUUCAAACCAAUGGUCUUGAUCGAUGAAUGAGUACUCAACUGGUGGAUGUUUUAACUUCUCUACAUCGUUCUUAAAUGGUAGUACGUACGACGUUGUCAAUCUGGACUUAAAUCCACGAAAGCAUACUCUUGCAUCUUGAAGGACACUUUUUUUCGACUUUGGGUCAAGAACGAAGCCGACCUACAAUGUGAAAAACAAAUAUGAAAUAUUCAAUUCGAUCCAUUAUAAAUUUUAUUAUACUUAAAAUGACUUAGAAGGAUUCUUACGUCAAUAAGUUCUAAGAUCUUAUCCUUCAUCUCUUUGGGAACCGUAGGCCAACUAGAGUAUGUGAUCGGAACGUGAAACCUUACAGCUGUUCCUAUAAAUUUUUUUAGCUUUGUUGCAUUCUGACCUAUUGGUUGACCUAAUUCGUUGUAGUCAACCACCCUUCUUUUCCCCUCACUACUAACACGUGUUAUCUCAUUCAUUCGCGUAGGGUCACAUUUUCUCUUAUGACUCUGCUUUCCCUUCUUUCAUGGGGUGUAGCAAGCUGAUCGCAUACCGCAUCGUCGUCCCCUGAAUGAACCAUUACUGCAAAUGUAGUUUUAAACAUAACACAUUAGACUGUUAGUAACAAUACUUAUGUAAUUGUAAGAAAAAAAAAAAGAAUGCUAGUUUGAGAAUCGUAACGGGACUUUGAUAGUGAAAUGUGAAUCAACUAUUGGUUCUAAAAUAAAUAAAGAAAUUGUUCUUACAUACUUACUUACGCAAAGUUCAUAACAACUAUGAUAGAACACAUAACACUUUCAAUAUAGCAUAUCUAAGAUAUAAUAGUGUUCAAAUUUGAAAGAAAAAAAACUUGUGAACAUGAAACUAAAACUUGAUAACGAUACAUUUUAAAGUAGUCGUAUCUGAAAAUGACAUUGUCCUACAAAAAAAAAAAAAAAACGACAAUCAUUAACCAUAUGCAAUGAACAUUGAACACAACCAAAUAACUGAAUGUACGCCUCUUAGUAUACAUACUUCUGAAAGUCAAGUGCUAACCCAUGUGCCUUCAUGGUCAGUUCUAGUGUAUGUUUCCCACUUUCAUCAAUAUCACACGUUGUUGUACAUUCGAGACUGGGGGAUAGUGCGACAACAUGUCUCCUAUGUCAUCAUCAAAACAUUUAUAAGGAAAGUCCUUAUCUCGUGGCAUCACAACAAUUGACCAUCUUGCAUCAACAUGAUCUGUGACAUAAAAUGCUUGUCUACCGUGCGUGGCAAUAAUGAAAAAAUUUGAAGAGUGUCCAAUUCGGCCGAGGUCAACCAACGUGUAAUUAAGAUCGUCCAUUCGAAGACCUCAUUAUUUUCAAUCCAAUUUCAUUUGAAAAGAACAACCUUAAACGUAUUAUAGCCGACUUCCCAAAUCUCUUGAAUCGUCCCAUAGAAAGACAUGUCACAAACGACUGAGUUUUUGUCCUUCACACUAGACACUUGCAUUAUUGUUGCGACUAACAUAAUCACAUUGUUUUGAACAGUCGAUGGUCAUCACGGGACUUUGUGUGUUAACAAGAUCCAUUAAUCAUGUACCCCUCAUACGUCGUUAAAGUAGGGUGGGGUUCAUGUGCAAGCCAACGUAUGAUGUUAGAGACAACAUUUCCUAGCUGUAAUUCACUCAUCCCUUAUUGAAGACAAAAAUCAUUCCUUAUAGCUAGUAGCCAAUAAGAAGAAAACAAAAUGCAAGGCUGAUAGUUCAUUAACUUGAUCAUGUAUCCAUGCAUCAAAUGAUCAAUUAUGUUCAGCUUGUAGCCAUUGUUCAUUUUUUGCUCUUCUUUGGUUUUCCACUUUUAACUAGUUCAAAUGUCAUAAACAAAAUGUGUCAUACACUAAAAUCAUUCCUUGUGAAGGGUAAAUAAAUGGGGGUGUUUAAUCAUAGGAAUGCUUAGAAUUGUAUGUAUAGGUGUACUUCUUCAGUGUUCUGUAAAACGUGAAGAUGUGCUUGCUUCAAUUGUUGCACAUCGGGCCAAACAUAUAUUCAUGCUAACAGUGGUCUAUCGCUUUGUCUGGCUUUCCUUGAAAUGAGUGACCCAAGCCCAAUAGAAUCUAAUCCAUAAAGAAAAUUCAAACAAAAUUCAACAGCCUCCUCAAAUAUUUGUGCUUCUGCAAUGCAUCAUUCCGGUCAAGUUCUAUUACAAAUAUAACUUUUCAACACUUUCAUGUAUCGUUCAAAUGGGUAUAUUCAAUACAAAUAUACAGGUCCACAAAGUUUUACUUCUCUCACAAGAUGAACCAUAAUUGUGAAAAAUGAGGGUGGAAAAUACUUUUCAAGAUUGCAUAAAGUUAGAACUAUAUCUUCUUGCAAUGCAUCAAGCUCCGAAACAGAAAACAACGUAAAUUAGAUUGAAGAAAAAGUACAAUCUAUUAAUAGUGUACCUCACAUUCCUCGGUAGGACCGUGAGGUACACUAUUAAUAAACUUCCCUAGCUCAACCAUUUCAACCAUGUGAAGCUACAAUAGUUCAUUUCACCCAAGUCCCAUUGAAAAUCACAAUACUAUUAAAAUGUUGAACAUAUGGAGUUAGAAGCUAAAAACACAAACUUACUUCAAAAUUUGUAUGUUAAAUAAAGUUUCACUCUCAGAAGGAGAAAACAACAUUGUAUUAGAAAUUUGAGGUUGAGGACCUGAGGAGAUGCGACCAAUGGGCAAUGAUAACCGAUGACAGACGGCGUUCGAAGAUGGUUGGGUGCAUUAGAAGAUGGUCGACGAUAGCUGAUGACAGACGACGUUUGUCGCGACGUGAUCGCUACGCGGAGCGGCCGACUUCCCCGUUUAUUUAAUUUUAAUAAAUAGUUUUGGAGUCGCCACCAACCAUAUUAGGGUGUGAUUUGUCACCCAAAAAAAGAAAAAAAAAUGGUCUGCCUACAUUCAGAGAUUUAAGUUCGGGAGUCAGUUGUAUGUAGGGAAGGAGUUAGCACCCUACAACACCCAAAAAAUGGUUACCCAAUUUUAUCUUUUAAAUUAAAUUAUAGAGGUUCACAAAACAAAGUUUUUAUUUAGGUUUUGUUUAAAUGUCCCAUGUUUAUCAAUUCAUAUCGAAGAAAGUAAAACCUAAGCAUGAAUUGAUGAUUAUGGGUGGCAUAGGAGCCAUUAGAAAAAUUAAGUUUAUUUUUGUUUUAAAAGAUUUUUAUUCACCUUAAGAAUAUUAAGAUACCAAAAUUUGAUAUUUUAAUCUCUAUCAUAGGUGUUUAAUGAGAAAUUUCAUGUAUCUAGAAUGAAAACACUACUCAGUCUCAUUUAAAAUAUGAAAUGUGUUUAUUUAAAAACAAUCUAUUAAUUAAAUUUCAAACGAAAAAUUUUCAUGUAUUCAUGGAAUUUAAAUUAUAAAAUCCAUAAAAAACAAUACUUUUUUCCAAUUUACAUUUUUAUAUUUCAAUUGGAAAAUAAAUAAUAACAAUGAGCAAAACAUUAUGAAAUUUGAAAAAUACUUAAAGGGUAAUAUGUUGAGAUAAAAUAAAUGCAUAAAACAAAUACAGGAUAAUGUAAGCAAUAUGCAAAAUGUACAAGAUAAUUAAUUAAUACAGCACAAGCAAGAUAAUUAAUUAAUUCAGAAUGAUGCAAAAUAAUUAAUUAAUUCAAAAGGAUACAAAAUAAUUAAAUCAUGCAGAAAGGUGAAAAAUAAUUAAUUAAUGCAGAAACAGAAAUAAGCAAAAUAAAUAAUUAAUUCAGAAAUAUGCAACAUAAUUAAUUAAUUCACAAAUAUGAAAAAAUAAUUAAUUAAUUCAGAAAUAUUCAAAAUAAUUAAUUAAUUCAGAAAUAUUCAAAAUAAUUAAUUAAUUCAGAAAUAUGCAAAAUAAUUAAUUAAUUCAGAAAUAUGCAAAAUAAUUAAUUAAUUCAGAAAUAUGCAAAAUAAUUAAACGAGGAUGUCAAAUGGGUGAAAUAAUAAUUAACUGCAGAAUGCCAAAAUAGGAUUAAUGCAAGAUGUCAAUAAAUAAUCAGCAAUGAAUGUCAAAUAAUUUUAGCAAUAUGCAUGCUGAUUAAUUAAUUAAUACAUAAUACAAAUAAUUCGAAUGAGUAAUUGACAUGAGAGGCCAAAUGAGUGCCAAAAUAAUUAACGAUAUGCAAAUAAUUAGCUCACAAUGGAGGAUGCCAAAAAUUAAAAGUGUCAAAUACAUUGUGCUAAUUAAUUAACAAUGCAUAAUUAAGAGAGCUUGUCAAAUGAAUAGUUAUUUUCAAAUGCAUAAUUAACACAUGCCAAAUGGAUAAUUAUUAAAGCAAGAUACCAAAUGGAUACACACAACACAGAAUGUAAAAUGGGUGCCUAGAUAAUUAAAAAGAUAGCAAAUAAUUAAAUCAGUAUGCUAAAUAGGUGUCAAAUAAGUGUUAAAUAAUUAAGACAUCAAUCAAAUAAUUAACACAUCAUUUAAUUAAUUAACCAAAUGAAAUAAUUAACAUAACACUCAAAUGGAUGCCAAAUAAUUAAUCGCCAAAUAAUUAAUCCAGAACACAUUGAUUAAUUAAGGCAGUAGCCAAAUAGAUGCAAAACAACUAAUUAAUUAGGGCAGCAGUCAAAGAGUCAAAUGGGUGCCAAAUGAUUGCAAAUAAUUAAAAGAUGUGAAAUGAAUGCUAAUUAAUUAACCAAAUAAUUAAUGCCAAAUAAGAUAAUUAACUCACAAAAUUCAAAUGGGUGCCAAAUGAUUCAAAUGAUGCCAAAUGAUUCAAAUGAUGCAAAUAAUUAAAAGAUGUGAAAUGAAUGUCAAAUGAUUAACACAUCAGCUAAUUAAUGAGUGAUUUAAAUGAAUAAUUAAGACAGCACCCAUUGGGUGCCAAAUAAUUAAGCGAGUAUCAUCAAACAUGAAUAACAAAAAAAACUUACAAGGUCUGCCUUAAAUGCAAAAUGUUUUGAGUUGAUCCUCUUCACCUUUUUCCAAAAAAUUUCUUUUACGUGUCCCUCUUCUCUAUCAAAUAAUUCUCCAGCAAAAUUUUUUUUUUCCCCAAUUGAAUCUUCUCCUUCUCUUUUUAUAGGGAAAUGACUCAUUUUUUAGAUAGAAGUGAAGUAGGUUUAGAUAGUGAAAUGGAGUAUAGAGAAAUGGGGAAAAUGUGGAAGAGUGGGAGAACGUGAGAGAUUGAGGAAGAAGGUGGAAGAGUGGGAGAACGUGAGAGAUUGAAAGAAAGUGGGAGGGUUGUGACUCAGGAAAACAGGGUAUGGUUGAGAAAAAUAGGGAGAAGAAAAAAAAUAUUUACUUUUAAAUUUAAUUUUAAAUACGUUUUUGUUUUAAAACAUAAAUUUAAAAAUUAAGAUUUAAAUUUUAGAACUUAAAUUCAAAUUCAAAUUCUUUUUAAAAAAUAAUAAAUAAAUUAAUGAAAAAAAUAAAAAGGUAGGACAAAAUACGGUAUCUACAACGUUCAUAUAAGGUCGAUCGCGUUUGGAGUGGUUGAGGGUGUUCGGAGAUGGUCAGUCGCGUUCGAAGAUGGUCAGCAGUGUUCGACGUUCGAUGAUCUGUGUGUUCGGAGAUGGUCAGUCGCGUUCGAAGAUGGUCAGCAGUGUUCGACGUUCGAUGAUCUGUGUCGUCACGUGCCCGAGACGACGCAGAGCGACCGUCGUCCUCAAAAGAGCUAGUUUUAGAAGAAAAUAGAAGUGAUCAAUCUUUUUUACAGUGUGAUUGGACACCGAAAUAAAGUAAACAAUUAAAAAAAAUGGUCUGCGAAAAAAUUGAGUUGAGUUCAAAAGUCAUUUAGAUAAAUGAUAGCCAAAUUUUAAAUCUUGAAUUGAAAAUGUUUUUUAAUUUAUUUUUAAACUAAUGUCUUAUUUCACCUCUCAUUGCUCCAAUAUUUGAAGCAAUUAUCUCAUAAAAUAAGUGGAAUAAUAUUCAAUUAAUUAAGACUACAUAUUUACGGAAAGUUUCUCACCUUAAGAAAAUGAAAAAAUAUUACAAUUUCUCAAAAUCUAUCGUAGACUAGUCUUUGAAUAAAGAUUUUUUUAAAAACAUUGAUUAAAUUUAUUUUUUCUUGGGAUCAAAUCUCGGACUUCCAAAGAUGUGAUCCCUCACCUUAAGAAUUCUAGGAAAUCGGACUCCUAAAUUUCCUAGAUUCCAUCAUAGAAAUUUUUUUAGCUAAAUAGAAGUGAGAUAUUAAAAAAGUUGAUUAGGGAAAACUUAUGAAAUAUAGAUUUUUUUAAAAAGAAAAUUUAAAAGGAUAGUUUUAAAGAAUUUUUUUUAAAUGGUUAAAAAAAAAGAAAAUUUAAGAGAGACUUUCAAGUUUAGUGUCAAUAGGAAACAAUGCACAAAUGAAAUCAAAUAUAUCACACGGUGGAUUAACCAAAUAAGAUAAGAUUUUAUUUUUUAAAAAAUAUUAGAAAUUGAUCUUGGACUCCCAAAGAACCGAUUCUCUCACCUCAAGAAUUUAGAAAUAACUUACUCCCAUAUAUUUCUAAUUCUAUGGUUGGAUUUUUUUUGGAUGAUAAAAUGUAAAGAUAAAUAUGAUAUAAAAAGAAAAAAAUAAUUGAUACAAAUACCGUAAUAACAUUGUAAAGUGUAAAAAGUAUUCAUAAAUUUAAUACUACAUAAUAAUAAUUAUUAUGCAUGCAAGGAAAAUAAGUUAAAAUAAAUAAGUAAAAAUAAAUAGAAACCGUAGACAACGAAAAUAAAUAAAUAACAAAAAGAAAAGAAAUAAAGGAAUGAAGAAAUAAAAAAAUUAAAAAGGUGUGGCGAUAAGUUGCCUUGCCCCAACCUAUAAUAAUAAUUAUAAUGAUGACGAUAAUAAUAAUAAAAAAAACAACAAUUAUAUAAAUAAACUAAUAAUAAUAGGUUUUAAGUAUAUAUAAAAAGUAAUACUCAUAAUAAAAAGGUUAAAAGAGAAAAAAAAAUGAAGUUAAAAAAACAGUAAUAUAAAAAAAUGUCAACAAUAAAUAAUAGAUAUAUUAAUAAUAAUAAUAAGAAAUUUAAAUAUACGUGUAAUCUUCUUUUUUUUAUAUAUAUUUUAAAAAAAUAUAAAGAUCAAUGUUUACAAAAAAAAAAAUCUUGUCUUUUUCUUUUUCUCUGUUUUUUUAGAGAGAAGAAAAAAACAAUAAAAGUAAAAGGAAGCAAAAAAAAAUAUAAAUUAUAUUUUUCUUUAUCUUUAUCUUUAAGGAAAAAAAGAAAAAAAAAUCAGAUCUCAACUAAAACUACUCGUGGGUGAGGUGUGGAUCCGGGAGAGUAAAUCCCUACCACAUGCAACCUAUCACAAAAUCUAUUUUGACGAGAUUUGAUUUGCUAAAGAGAAGUAAAAAAAAUACAAAACAAAACAAAAGAAAAAACAUAAAUAGUGAAGAUACUAAUGUUAUGAAAUAAAAUAAACUACCUUUUGAGGGCGUUUAUCUUCUAAAUGGUAGAGAUUCUCUAAAAAAAUUUAUAACUUUCUCUCUAGAGACUUUUGUAAGAAAAUUUUCUCCUCAUAUUUGUAAAUGACAAGGGUCCCUAUUUAUGGACCCGAGUGUACCACAAAUUAGGAAAAGAUAACAAAAAUAAAAUCAAAAUUUGAUAUUAUAUUAAUAAAGUAAAUUUCAAUUUUUCCUAAAAUGAAAUAAAUGAAAUUUUGUAAAAAAAAAUGAUUUACUUUUUAAUAAAUGAAAUAUUAUGGGAUAUUGUAAAAUAAAAAUUAUUUACUUUUUCCUAAAAUGAAAUAUUAUGGGAUUUUGUAAAAGUAAAAUGAUUUAUAUUUUUCUAAAAUAAAAGAAUUUACAUAGAACAAACUAAUAAUUUUUCUAUCUAAAAUGAGUUAAAAAGAAGAUUUUAUUUAUUUAUUUAUUUUAAAAAUGAGUUAAUGAGAGUUUAUUAAUUUCACUUUUUUUUAAAAAAGAAUACAAAGAAGAAAAAUGUGGUAUUACUAGAGUGAUUUUCGUUUUUGUUUCCUAAAAGAAAUAACAAAUAUUAUUAUAUAGAAAAUUAUAUUUUUUCUUUUAAGAAAAUGAUAAAAAAAUAUGUAGGGAUAAUUGUAAAUUUAGCAAUUAAAUUCAAAUUAAUUAAGUAUAUAGCACAAUUUUAAAAAAUUUACAAAUAUAGCAAAAUUUGUCAAAUUCUAUUAAUGAUAUAAGUUUAUCACUGAUAGACCAUGUUACAAAUAUUAGUCUAUCACUGAUAUAACAUAUAAAGUCUAUCAGCGAUACAAGUUUAUGAUAGUUUUGCUAUAUUUGCAAUUUUUUAAAAUGUUGUUAUAUUCUUAAUUAUUAUUGCUAAAAUAGUCAUCUAUUGCAAUUUUUCAAAUAUGUAGGAUAAAAUUAGGUGGCUACAGUCUGCGCGGACGUUUUCGAAGAGAAUUAGAUGUUUGAAAGAUUGAGAGAGUCAAAGCCGUGAGAGAGUUUUGAGAUUUUGAGAGAGUUUUUUUUAUUAAAAUUUAUUUUAAUAAAUUCAUAAAAAAGUAUAAUUAUUUCAUGUUUUACGUUGUAUGACAACAAAUAAUUGUUACAAGAAUGAAGAAUAUGAAAACAAUAUUUUUUUUCUGGCCAAAAGUGUGAAUUUUCACCUUCUGCCAUAGUUUUUUCUUCCCUAGUAUGAUUCCAAUAACUACUACAAUAGAAUGUAGUUUUUGUUGCACUGUAUGUUUGUUAUAAUUUAUAUAGGAAUUUUAAUUUUUUUUUAGGCAAACUGAAAAACCCUUAUAAUUAAAAGGACCACUUUUGUGUAAAGAAAAUAUCUCAGAAUGAUGGAGAGAAUUCUGAAAAGGCAUUCAGACCGAUCAUCAUUAAGAAGUGAGAGAUUCAUACUUUGUAGCCUAGAAAUUAAAAAAUAGAAAGAAUUGGACCAUAGGAUUAGUGAACCACACCAAUCAUUAUUAACAUUAAAUAAUUUACUUUAUUGUCAAACACAAACCCCAAUAAUUGUUAUGAGCAUCAAAUUGGUAAUUUAAUAAGUUUAGAAGUACAUAAAAAAAAAAAAAACUAAUACUACAGGAAUCAAUGGUAAAGUUGGUAAAGUAGGAGGAAAGUAUGGUGCAGAUGCAAUUGUACAUUUAAACUUUUAAAAUUUAAAAUAAAAAAAUUUAUCUAAAAUUCAAAAUUAGAUUAGUUGAAUAAAAUCAUUCAACAGUUAAUGUGUAAGUCCAAUUUUUUUAAUUAUUAGAAGUUGAGUGAUCCAAUUUUAAUACUUUUAGAAGUUUAAGAACUCAAUUAUUGUUAUUAAAAAUUUAAAUGUGUAAUUGAGUCUCUAAACUUGAAUGUAUUAAAACAACCAUAACCUUGAGUGUAUUAAAACAAUCAUAAUCCAUAGACUUAUAAAAAGAAAAUAUAUAGUAAUUUAUGGAUGUAAGGACUGCUUUUUUUUUUUUCAAAAUUUGUUAUGUAAUUUUGGAAGUUUACCGAUUAAAUCAUUUUAUACUUGUUAUAUUUUACUAAAAAUAUUUUCAAUAAAUAUUUUUUUCUACAAUAUUUGUUUGGAGAGAUUGGAUGGUAAAUUAUUGGGAUAAUGAUAAUAAUAUAAUAUGGGAAGAGAUAGUAUGGGUUUAGAUAUUUGUAGAAGGUAUGGGGACGAUGGCAUUUUUGAAAAUCUAAAGAAAUUCACAGCAAUUGUGAGACCCACCAAACAAAUGCCCAUAGCACACAGUAAUCACAAUCCGGAAUCCUCAUCCCUAUCCAUUUCUCAAUCAUUACUCCAUUUUUCUUCGUUUCCCCCAAAAACCCUAAUCCCCCAAUCUUCUUCACCCCUUCUUUUCUGCAUCUUUCUUAUAUAAUCUCUCUUUUCCACUUCCCAAUUCUCCUCACCGGAGCAAACCAAAAUUCAUGGAGGCGGAGACUGCGCUGGCCGCCAUUCUCGGAAGAUUGGGGCGUCAUUGCUAUGCGGUUUUGUGUUUGGGAGUUCUUCUUCUCACUGUUGCUGUAGUUCACUACGUUGGCGACGGAGAGCCGACCGAUCCACGCGAGCGGACCAAGCGCCGUCUUCGCCCUUUGCACGGCUCAUCAAUUCUCGGCGAAGAUGCCGCCCGUCAGUUGCCUGCGGUGGUGAAUUGAAGCGGCGUAUAGGCGGAACGUUUAUGCAAUUAAUUACUAAUUUUGCGAUAUUUUUGUAAAAGGCUAAUAAAUAGUUUAAUUAGUGCUGAUUCCUCAUCGGGUAACAAAAUGUAAAUUAUUUGCUUCGUUUUGUGUAAAUUCCAAUGUGAGAUUUUUGUGAAAUAAAUUAUUGGUAUCAUCAUCACCAUUGUGAACUAUAUAAUUAGGCAUUGGGUUGAUUCGAGUUUGAGUCAUCAUCAGGUGAUGGUUUAUCUCGAGUGCGCUCAUCUUUAAUGCAAUUGAAGAGGUUGUAGGAAGGUUGGUGGAGUAUGAAUUAUCCAAGUUUUAUCUAAACAAAUUUAGUAGAUAUGAAGAAUGAAAAAAGAUGUAUCGGAAUUAUCCUUUCACAUCUAAUUUGUCAUCUCAAUCUAACAUUUUUUUUUAAUGUUGAGAAUAAAGAUUUUGAAUCCAUCAGUUCUGUGUAUAAAAAAUAUGGCAAGAUCUUGUGAUAAAAUUUAAAUAAUGACAAAAGGAAUAAUUCUUUAUUAUUAUUUAUUCAUUAAAAAUCCAACUGAAUAUUUACUUCAGAUUUGG